GUAGAGAUGGGGUUUCUCCAUGUUGGUCAGGCUGGUCUUGAACUCCUGACCUCAGGUGAUCCACCCACCUCGGCCUCCCAAAGUGCUGAGAUUACA